GACGUAGGUCGCGAGCGUUGUCCGGAUUUAUUGGGCGUAAAGAGCUCGUAGGCGGCUCAUUGCGUCAACCGUGAAAACCAGCAGCUCAACUGUUGGCUUGCGGUUGAUACGGGUGGGCUGGAGUUCGGUAGGGGAGACUGGAAUUCCUGGUGUAGCGGUGAAAUGCGCAGAUAUCAGGAGGAACACCGGUGGCGAAGGCGGGUCUCUGGGCCGAUACUGACGCUGAGGAGCGAAAGCGUGGGGAGCGAACAGG
rnacentral:rRNA from 1 species